CUGAUUUGACCCCAUAGAAGUAGCUGUUAGGAUAGAAAGCUGGAAAAGGCUAUAAGGAAAUAGCUUCCCUUUUGAAUACAAUGUUUGAUUCUCUACCAAAUAAAGAAUAUUUUGAAGCAAAAUAAUAGAUAUUUGCAAUCUCUCAACUAUAAAAACCACCUAUAUGCUAAAACUGUGUGUUAAGAGAGAUGAUUUACAAAGCCACUUGAGUAUGUCUGCAGUUUAAUCUGAUGAAAUCGUUCAUGUGUCAUGAUUAGGACUCAUGCUGGCAUAAGUCUGUUAAGUUAUUAAAUAUAGAGUUUCAUGAUUUAUCACUAUUGCAGGAGCUGAUCUUACAGAUGGUCCAACUUUGCCUUGUGGUCCAGCAUCACCGGGGCGACCAGUCAGGCCCUGCCGGAGAAGAAGAGCGAGAGCAUUGCAGAUGAGUCAUCUCAAUGAAGACAGAAAGGUGUGAGCGUGUGGACUGGUGUGCUGUCGAGGUGAGCCUCGCCUUUAACUGACUAUAGCCGGCUAGACUCCAGCAACCUCGUGACCUUGAACAGGAUUUAGUGGAUGGAUGAAUCAGGUUCUAAUUUAAGAAAUGAGGGAAAAACUUACUCUGGCACCAGGAAGCCCAGACUCUCCAGGACGGCCAGGGUCACCCGUCGCCCCCUUGGCUCCACUGGCGCCAGGGGGACCGCGCUCACCUGGGGCUCCCUGUGUCGCAGAGGAAAAAAAGAAUAAAGCCGUUAGUCAGUCAUUCCAGGAGGGAAUGACACACUUUCAAACCAAAAGGAAAUUAGUUUUUCUUUUAAUAGUGUGCAGGGGUUUCAUUGACCUGCGGAAGAUGAGAAGAUUAAAUUAUGAUAGAUUCCUUUUGCCAUAAAUGAAACUGUCCAUGGGAAGAUAAAGUUAAAUGAGAUGUUGGCUUUGGCGACGUGGGAAAUGUCGGUCAGCGGUGCAGAACAGGGUGUUGCUAUGCUGCCCCUCUGUGGCCAAACGGCUGAAGUACUUUGCUGCAGAUUGAAGGGUUGAUAAAAUACGAACUACCAUGUGGCACUUUGAAAUAAUCCCCC